UACGUAGGGUGCAAGCGUUAAUCGGAAUUACUGGGCGUAAAGCGUGCGCAGGCGGUUUUGCAAGACCGAUGGGAAAUCCCCGGGCUUAACCUGGGAACUGCAUUUGUGACUGCAUAGCUGGAGUGCGGCAGAGGGGGAUGGAAUUCCGCGUGUAGCAGUGAAAUGCGUAGAUAUGCGGAGGAACACCGAUGGCGAAGGCAAUCCCCUGGGCCUGCACUGACGCUGAGACGUGAAAGCGUGGGGAGCGAACAGG
rnacentral:rRNA from 1 species